rnacentral:rRNA from 1 species
GUAAGGAAUAUUGGUCAAUGGACGAAAGUCUGAACCAGCCAUGCCGCGUGGAGGAUGAAGGUCCUCUGGAUUGUAAACUUCUUUUAUAUGGGACGAAAAUGGGGCUUUCUAGCUCAACUGACGGUACCAUAUGAAUAAGCACCGGCUAACUCCGUGCCAGCAGCCGCGGUAAUACGGAGGGUGCAAGCGUUAUCCGGAUUCACUGGGUUUAAAGGGUGCGUAGGUGGAUUGGUAAGUCAGAGGUGAAAUCUCCGGGCUAAACUCGGAAACUGCCUUUGAUACUAUCAAUCUUGAAUAUUGUGGAGGUUAGCGGAAUAUGUCAUGUAGCGGUGAAAUGCUUAGAUAUGACAUAGAACACCAAUUGCGAAGGCAGCUGGCUACACAUAUAUUGACACUGAGGCACGAAAGCGUGGGGAUCAAACAGGAUUAGAUACCCGAGUAGUCC